rnacentral:tRNA from 1 species
GAGCGCAGUGGUAGCGCGUCCGCUUUGCAAGCGGAAGGCCCCGGGUUCAAUCCCCGGUGUGUCCA